rnacentral:rRNA from 1 species
UACAGAGGGUGCAAGCGUUGUUCGGAAUUAUUGGGCGUAAAGGGCGUGUAGGCGGUCUGCUAAGUCAUGUGUGAAAUCCCUCGGCUUAACCGAGGAACGACGCAUGAAACUGGCAAGCUAGAGUACCAAAGAGGGUCGCGGAAUUCCCGGUGUAGAGGUGAAAUUCGUAGAUAUCGGGAGGAACACCGGUGGCGAAGGCGGCGACCUGGGUAGAUACUGACGCUGAGGUGCGAAAGCGUGGGGAGCAAACAGG